CGAGUCUCCUGCCUCAGCCCCCUGAGUACCUGGGAACACAGGUGUUCAUCACCGUGCCCAGCUAUUGUUUUUGUAUUUUUAGUAGAGACAGGGUUUCAUUCACCAUGUUGGCCAGGCUGGUCUCAAACUCCCUACUUCAAAUGAUCCACCCUCCUCGGCCUCCCAAAGUGCUGGGAUUAUAUGUGUGAGCCAUCACGCUCGUCCCAAAGCUCUUCUCAAAAAAUGAUCUCAUUUGGACUUCCUGAGAGCCCUGUAUGGAGAAGUAGGGUAGUCCUUGUUAUCUGUAUUUUACAGACAACUAUACUGAGACUGGGUGAGAUGAGGUAUUAUUCUUCUGCCAUCAUCAAGAUGCAGAUAAAGUAAUUGAAUCUAGACUCCAUGGCUUCUGGUUCCUGAUGUGGGUUUCACUAUGUGGCACCAACCAUCAAGCCCAUUUUCACCAUCAUCUGUGAAUGCCAUAUGGCUCUGCCUUGGGAUUUUUGGCUCUUCAAGGAAAACAAUAAGACUUAGUUGAAUGAGACCUCGACCUCUUAUUUCUAGGAUCUUCUAAUCUGAGAUAAAGAGUUGUUGUGAUUAUCCAGAGAAUGACAAUAAAGAAUUCUUAGACAGUGUUUGAAAUGGAGCUGAGGGUAAAUAACACACGAGUGAAAUUUCUUUAUAAAACUGUGGUGUUUGUCUGCUUUGGGGUUGAUGUUUCCUUAUAACAACAAUGCUGAAUGCCUCAUGCAAUGCAAUGCUCUCCUGAUGGGAGGGAUUAAGGCUGGACCCAUCUGAAGAGUGCUGCUUUCCAAAGAACAGAGGGCGUUUCCACUGAGGUAGUUUCAUAGUCCCAUGAAUAGACUCUUCUGCUCAUUUAAGGACCUUCCUAACAUAUCUGUAGAAAUGAACAGAAUAUUGAAACCCCACCAGAAGAGUAACCUCUGCCUUUCUCAUGCUUUCAGUGUGCUGACUUGCUUUUUUUUGGGUUCUCAAAUGAUGCAAUCUGAUAGUGCAGCAGCUUCCUGUUUGAGGGUUAAUUAUUUCUUUUUAUGUCUAUAUUUAAGAUGCUUAAAUUUGUGAUUCAUUCUUUAUAAUUUGAUCUAAUGCUUAGAAUAUGUCCACGUAUAUCACAUUAACAUUUUUCCUUUAAGAGUGAUUAUUUUCCCCUCUGAGCCAUUGCCAAUGGACGUAGAUCAUGAAAACAGGUUGAUAAAUGCAGCCAUCUCAGCGCAACCUGAAAUUUGCAGUUGCUGUGGCCAUGAGUCAAGACAGAGCCAGCUGUGUCCACAUGGGAAAUCGCCAUUCCCCCAAGUGCCUAUUGUUCCGGAAUCAGUGCAUCCUUGCAACGGAGAAGGUGGCACUUUCUAUUCCCCAGCAGCGAGACCAUGAUGAGAGAAGGAAGAGAGUGAGAAGAAAAGGAGAGAAGCAGGAACCAGGAGAAGAAAAAAUGAGGAAGUAACCAGGAGUGGGGAGGAAGGAGGCGAAGAGGCUGAGAGAGGGACGGAGCCGCGUGCCUCGGAGGGAACACCUUGCCUUCUUGGCCUUGCCAGCAGCUUCAUGGCUGUCCCUUUUGUGCCUGGGACUUCCUCUUCUCCAGACACUGAGUUGCUGUCUCACUGGUAACAAUAAGUUAAUUGAACAGCCUGUCAACAGAUGGGCACACAGUGGCUCUCAGCUCUGGACUCUUUGUUAGUGAGACUUAUUUGUAAGUGAGAAAGUCUGAAAUAGCACCUGUCUCUUAAGAGAGCAUGUGUGCUUGCACACACAUGUGCAUGGACACACACACGUGCAUGCACACACUCAUGCAUGCAGAUACACACAAGUGCACACACACACGCACACACACACCACCGCCACCUUUCUUUUUUUUUUUUUUUUUUUUUUUUAGGUGGAGUCUCACUCUGUCACCCAGGCUGGAGUGCAGUGGUGUGGUCUUGGCUCACUGCAACCUCUGCCUCCCGGAUUCAAGUGAUUCUCCUCCCUCAGCCUCCUGAGUAGGUGGGAUUACAGGGGUGCACCACCACACCUGGCUAAUGUUUUGUGUUUUUAGUAGAGAUGGGAGUUUUGCCCUGUUGUCCAGGCUGGUCUUGAACUCCUGACCUUAGGUGAUCCACCUGCCUCUGCCUCCCAAAGUGCUGGGAUUACAGGUGAGAGCCACUGUGCCCGGCCUCUGCACCACCUUACGCCAGGCCCCUUCUCUGUCCCCUGUGUGAGCCCAGGCUUUCCACAAUUCAGCCUUUCCAAUGCUUUCAGAAGUCAUGGUGUAUUUCUAAGUAAGGAGUAUUUCCAUCUGAGCUGUUAGGGAUAAAGACUCUGAGUCAUUUCCAUCUGAGUCAUUAGGGAUAAAGACUCAGAAUUUGUGCCACCGAAAAUGUGGUUAUAAAGGAGGAAUGGAUGUACUCUACUGCAAUGCUGAAAUGAAUUAAUUAUGUCCUGAGGCUCAAAUCUAUCUCUUUUCAUCUAUUUUUUUUUUUUUUUGUAUUUCACCCUCUGUACAGAGCUGAAGUGUAAACCUGUCUCUCCUUGGACACAUAUUGCACCCUUACCACUUCUUUCCAUUUGCAUCACAUAGCACUUCCCAGGCAAGUUCCACUAUUUUGCAGGUGGACAGAGGUUGAGAGCUUUCAGCUACAAGUGGCAGAGACCACUAUGCUCGGUAUUCAUCUCUUUCUUUGUCCUGAUGCCCUGUCACAAAGCUGGGCCUGGGUGCAUUACCUGUUUGACUGAUUUGACUGAAUGGAUGGGUCAACUGCUCUGUGGUUUAGUAAAUAUAAGCCAAAGCAACUGUCCUGGAGAAAACAUGACCAUCAAAUAGAUUAAAAUGGAAUGAACUCUUC
rnacentral:lncRNA from 10 species